rnacentral:rRNA from 1 species
UACAGAGGUCCCAAGCGUUGUUCGGAUUCACUGGGCGUAAAGGGUGCGCAGGUGGUCGGGUACGUCUGAUGUGAAAUCCCGCAGCUUAACUGCGGAAUGGCAUUGGAUACUAUUCGGCUAGAGGGUUGGAGGGGGGACUGGAAUUCUCGGUGUAGCAGUGAAAUGCGUAGAUAUCGAGAGGAACACCAGUGGCGAAGGCGAGUCCCUGGACAACUCCUGACGCUGAGGCACGAAAGCUAGGGGAGCAAACAGG